rnacentral:rRNA from 1 species
UACGUAGGGGGCAAGCGUUGUCCGGAUUUAUUGGGCGUAAAGAGCGUGUAGGCGGCCAGAUAGGUCUGUUGUGAAAACUCGAGGCUCAACCUCGAGACGCCGAUGGAAACCAUCUGGCUAGAGUCCGGAAGAGGAGAAUGGAAUUCCUGGUGUAGCGGUGAAAUGCGCAGAUAUCAGGAAGAACACCCGUGGCUAAGGCGGUUCUCUAGUACGGUACUGACGCUGAGACGCGAAGGCGUGGGGAGCGAACAGG